AGGACGCUCUUGGUGGAAAUUCAAAAACAACAUUUAUUGCAAAUGCCAGCCCAUCUAUUUGCACAAACCAGUCCAUUCAUCCAGUCUGGUCCAGGUUUUACAUCCAGUCAGCUUUUAAGGUUCUUUGGGUUAUGCCUUUUUCUUUGCGUUAGUUUUUCAUGAUGUGGCAUGGUGGUUUCCCACUUUCCCUCUUCUUCCAAGAAAUGGAAAUGGUGUAUUUUAGUUUUGUUGUUCAUCUGUUCUGUUUUGUUGUCUUA